GGUUGAUCCUGCCAGUAGUCAUAUGCUUGUCUCAAAGAUUAAGCCAUGCAUGUCUAAGUAUUAACCAAUUUUAAUACGGUGAAACUGCGAACGGCUCAUUAAACCAGAAAUAAUCUACUUGAUUGUAAAAUAUCAUACUUGGAUAACUGUAGUAAUUCUAGAGCUAAUACAUGCAAAGAAAUAAGACUCUUACAGGGGAAUUAUUGUAUUUAUUAGAUACAAAAUCAAUCUACCAUUGAUGAUUCAUAAUAACUAAAUGAAGCGUAAAUGUAUUUUUACGCUGAUACAAAUG
rnacentral:rRNA from 1 species